GAUGAACGCUGGCGGCGUGCCUAAUACAUGCAAGUCGAGCGAACAGACGAGGAGCUUGCUCCUCUGACGUUAGCGGCGGACGGGUGAGUAACACGUGGAUAACCUACCUAUAAGACUGGGAUAACUUCGGGAAACCGGAGCUAAUACCGGAUAACAUGUUGAACCGCAUGGUUCAACAGUGAAAGACGGUCUUGCUGUCACUUAUAGAUGGAUCCGCGCCGCAUUAGCUAGUUGGUAAGGUAACGACUUACCAAGGCAACGAUGCGUAGCCGACCUGAGAGGGUGAUCGGCCACACUGGAACUGAGACACGGUCCAGACUCCUACGGGAGGCAGCAGUAGGGAAUCUUCCGCAAUGGGCGAAAUCCUGACGGAGCAACGCCGCGUGAGUGAAGAAGGUCUUCGGAUCGUAAAACUCUGUUAUUAGGGAAGAACAAAUGUGUAAGUAACUAUGCACGUCUUGACGGUACCUAAUCAGAAAGCCACGGCUAACUACGUG
rnacentral:rRNA from 1 species